UCUUUUCUUUUCCCAAUUUCUUAAAAUCGUCCCCUCACCUACCCGUGUUCCCCACACUAAGUUGACACCUUACCCACCCACCUCUUCUUUUACCAAGCACUGUAAACCACCUUCGAGACCCAUAUAUAAGCAUUUUAUUUAUCCUGAUAAUCACUCCACACCCUUACAUUCCUAUAAACCAAAACAGAACACCCUCAAAUUAACAGAAAAAGAGAAAAGGGCUUGUGCUUUCGUUGUGAUGGUAAAUGGUCCUACAAUCACGUUUGUAAAAAUAGAGAGUAUAUAGUUUGUUGGUCUCGUUUGAUGAUGACCGUGAAGAGUUCGAGGAAACUGUGGACGAAGCCAUUGAAAAUGAAGGAGAGGAAGUUCCAUUAGCAGGCAUUUCAUUGAGUUCGGUGGUGGGUCUUAUAGGGACGAAAACCAUGAAACUAUUAGGUUAAGUUCAAGGAAUAGAGGUGGUUAUUUUAAUUGAUUUCGGAGCCACUAAUAAUUUCAUUUCAGCUUCACUUGUGAGGAAAUUGGGUUUGAUAUGUGAUCCCGGUGCUCGGUUUGCCGUUGUUUUAGGCACUAGGAAGGAAGUGUGAGGUCUAAGAGAAUGAAAAAAUGUGCAAUUAUCAUUCCAAGGCAUUUCCGUAAUGCUCGAUUUUUUGGUUCUUGAGUUAGGGCAUUCGAAUGUGGUAUUGGGAGUGCAGUGGCUGGAGAUGCUUGGACUAGUGACGAUAGAUUGGAAAUUACAAACCAUGAGGUGUAGCCUUAAUGAAGUGGACCAUGUCAUUAGGGGCGACUCUUCCUUACGCAGAGAUUGCAUAUCAUUUAAGGCCAUACUUCGAACAAUCCAACAUGAAAGCCUUGGAGUGCUAGUCGAAUUUGCAGGCCUUCAAGCUGAGCCCACAACUGAUCCUACAGUAAUCCCUCCUUGCUUAGAAGACAUCAUUCAAAAGUAUGACCCCAUAUUCCAACCUAUUACCAGCCUUCCCCCUCACCGAUCCAGAGACCAUACCAUCACCCUUAAAGAUGGUACUAACCCCAUUAAUGUCCUACCCUACCGCUACCCACAAUUCCAGAAAACCGAGAUAGAAACCAUGGUUGCUGACAUGCUCAAGGCAGAAAUUAUCCAAUCCUCAACCAGCCCGUUUUCUUGCCCAGUUAUCCUUGUAAAGAAGGACGGCUCUUGGAGAUUCUGUGUUGAUUACCGAGCACUCAACAAGGCUACUACCCCAGAUAAGUAUCCUAUUCCUAUUAUCGAUGAGCUUUUAGAUGAACUGUAUGGUGCAACUGUUUUUACCAAGCUAGACUUAAAAUCCGGUUAUCAUCAGAUUAGAAUGAGGCAGGAAGACAUUUGUAAAACGACCCCUAACGCACCGAUCACCUUUCAAUCACUCAUGAAUGACAUUUUCCGGCCACAUUAGCAAAAGUUCGUAUUGGUCUUCUUUGACGACAUACUUGUGUAUAGUCGUUCUAUGGAGGACCAUAGGCAGCAAUUUAGACAUUGUUAUGAAUAUUCUGCUUGAGAAUCAAUUAUUUGUCAAUAGGAAGAUGUGAAAUUGGUCCUACACAAGUUGCUUACCUGAUUUUUGCCGGGGGGGAGGUGUGGUGGGGUAGCUAUCGAUGAAGAGAAGGUAGCAGCUAUGAUUAAUUGGCCCCAACCGAAUCCAUUCCAUAAUUGAACCAAACAGUGUGAAUGGAUUGAAUAUCUAUUACAGGAUUGAACCAAACAGUUUUAGUCUGAUAUGGAGUUCUGAAUCCAUACCAUCCUGGUAUGGGGUUCCAUACCAUUCCAAUCCUGCUCACUGAACCAAACGGACCUUUAAAGAGUUACGAGGAUUUUUAGGGCUAACUGGAUAUUAUCAUAAGUUUGUGGCUAACUAUGCAUUCAUUUUGUUGGACCUCUUGAGUUUUGAUGAUGACUACACUUUAUUUAAGCAAAUAUGUUUUUAGAGAUUGUGUGCAGGUCGAUAUCCGGUCGUGAUAAUGAUCGUUGAUAGUACCUAUGACUUAGCUUAUGGAAACGUACAUGUCAAAAGGUUUCAAAAGAGGUUAGGAGAAGCAUAUCGCUUGGGAUGUAAAAUGGAGACAGCAGAUCUACUGUUCCCAAGUUGGAUGUUCUAGCUAAACUGAAGUCUGGAGACAGCGCACUGUUCCUAAGCUGAAGGUUGACUACGUUGACUAAAAAUUCUGGUUAUUAUAUUUUAAUUAUUAUUUUUAGUUAAUGUAUUUAAUAAAAUUAAUUUGUUGCAGUAGUAAUUUAUUAAAAUUAAUUGGCAAAUCGUUUUUCUUUAAAUAAAAUGAAUUAACGUCCUUAUUUUCUAAGAUCCUUUAUUUUAGGAUCUAUAUUUAGUAAAUCUUGGAUUUGUUAAAUAUAUAACUAACUGUUGUUGAAUUGGUCUUAGCUAUUAUUCUUAACCGUCUUUAUAUCUACAAGUUAGCAAGUAACCAUUUCUAAUAAGCAUAACCGUUUCUAUUAAUAGCAAAAACGUUCCAGAAAUUAAUACUGGAACAGGAACAGCUAUUGAAGAAACUGCUGCUUAAAGGGAACAGAAGUUAUUUUAAGGCAAAUGUGAACAACGGUUAUUUAUGUCUGGUUUGACUUAAUCAAAUAACCGUAUGGUUGCUUUAUCCGCAUUACUCCCAUGAUCUUUUGAUAAUGGGAUAAUGGAUUGGAAUAUUCCAUUUUCUUAGGAAUCUUAUUUUCUAUAAAUUGCUAUGUUAAUUCCGGUUUUUAUAUAUGAGAAAAUCCAACGUUUUGUGCUUAAGUGUUUUCAUACGAUUUUUGGAUUUUACAAGAAAUAUUUUGCUUUUAAAAUUGCCAAUUAAUUUUAUAAUAUUUUCUUGAGGAACUCAUUGAUUUUAUUUUAGAGAAUUAUUAUCCUUUUUGUAAGGGUUUUUGAGAGAAUUCAUUGUCAAAACCGAUCAGUGAAGCCUUAAAUUCAUAUGGGAUCAGUGGGAAAUCGACAUUGAUUACCAAAAGUGGGUGUUAAAGCUGAUGGGCUAUGAUUUUAAUUUCUUAUAUAACCCAAGAGCAUCCAACAAAGUGGCUGAUAAGCUGUCUCGGAUUCCUGAUGAGUACGACUAAUUGAUUUCCUUAAUUAGCUCACACUUUAUUCAAUGGGAUAUUCUACAGCAAGAAGUAGACCAUGACAAUAAUUUAGUGAAGAUCCGCCAAGCAAUUGAACAUCAAAAUGCAGCACCAAGGGGAUUCACUAUGCAGGGUGCCAAGCUAUUCUACAAAGUAAUAGGUUUGCUGUCGAAUGGUUUUGGUUUGGCAUGAGGAAACAAAUAAAGCAAAAUGUGCGGGAAUGUACUGUAUGCCAACAGCAAAAGGCCUCAAGUUGUUCGCCUGCUGGGUUGUUACAGCCCUUACCCAUCCCAGCCCAUGUGUGGUCCGAUAUUUCAAUGGAUUUCGUGGAAGGACUACCUAUUUCCAACGAUAUGAACGCAGUGCUAGUUGUGGUGGAUCGUUAACCAAGUAUGCUCAUUUCGUGCCCCUUCGCCACCCAUACAUGGCAUUCUCUGUCGCUACCAAUUUCUACAUGGAUUUCCUACUACCAUAGUUACCGAUCGGGAUCGUAUAUUUUUGAGUAAAUUUUGGCGGGAGUUGUUCAAGCUACAACACACAAAGCUCAUCCGUAGCACCUCCGUCCAUCCACAAACCGACGGUCAAACGGAGAUCGUUAACAAGGCACAUGAAACAUAUAUGAGAUGUUAUAUAAAUAGGCAACCCCGUAAGUGGACCACUUGGAUACCAUGGGCCGAAUAUUGGUAUAAUACUUCACCUCAUUCGUCCACUAUGAUGUCCCCUUUCCAAGCCUUGUACGGUCGACCACCACCACACUUGGUGCGUUUUAGAUCAACUACUCCGUGAAAGGGAUGCAAUUCUAGAUGAGCUGCAAUUUAAUUUAACUCGAGCUCAACAAUUGAUGAAGUAUUAUGCUGAUAAGAAGAGGAAAGAUGUUUCAUAUGAAGUUGGAGAUAUGCUCUAUCUUAAAUUACAACCAUACAGAUAAAGGUUUAUGGCUACACGAAACAAUGAAAAAUUAGCACCUCAUUUCUAUGGUCCAUAUAAAAUAUUGCAAAGGAUUGGGAAAGUGGCCUAUACAUUGCAGCUACCUGAUUCUACUCUAAUACAUCCUACCACUAGUGGAAAAAAACAUAUCUGCUGCGUGUCAUUUGUUGCGGUUUUUUAUAUACGCAGCAAUAAAUAGGAAAAAGAAUUAAAAAAAAACAAUCAAAAAUGCUGCGGUUUCUUCUUAGCCCGCAGCAAAUAAUCCAAUGAAAUGUUGCGGUUUCUUCCUAGCCUGUAGCAUAUAAUCACUUGGCCACUUAAAUGCUGCGGUUUUCUUAUUGCCCGUAGCAUUUAAUACUUUCAAAAACGCGCCUUAUAACGUACUCUUCUAUUUCAUGCAUUAAACAUAAUACGUACAUCUUCUUCAAAAAACCCGACCACAGUUUCAAAAAACCCUGUUCUUCAUCAUCUUAGUUUUUGCUCUUCUUCAUCAUUCUUGCUCUUAACGUUAUACCCAUCUUCACGCUGCUAAUGUUUUCCUAAAACCCACACGAAGAAUUUCAUAAAACACUCUAACGGCUGCUACUGUUUCAUCUUCUUCUUCACGCUGCUACUUCUUGGUUCAUAAACCCACGGCAUAUUUGUUACUUCUUUUCACUCGAAAAACCCAUUGAAACCCAUUGAAACCCACGACAUUUUCUUGUUCAUUGCUACUUAUUCAUAAACCCACGGCUGUAACUGUUCAUAAAUUCGAAAUUUCUGACUUUGGUCUUAUUCAUCUUCAAAACCCAUGAAAUUAAGGUACUGAUAUACAAUGCAUCUUUUCAGAGACGAAAUUGUCCCCGAGAUUGAGAUCUCGGAUAAUGAGCAACAUAGUCAUUACACUGAAGAGGACCAAAUUGUGAGAUAUGAGCGUAUGGCUGAAGACGCUCCACCACUUAACAAUGAUUAUGACACUGAAGAUGCCCCACCAAUGGAUGCUCCCACUACCAAUAAGAAAAGAAAAGGGCGAGGUCCUACGAAAAACCUCAAAGUCACAGAACCCAUGCAUUUGGAAUGCAAUGCAUUGGAUCAACCCUGUGGAAAAUGACGUAGGCAAUAUGGAAAACAAGUGGGCCUAUGUAUCCGCAAGAUUUUAAUAUUGUACGCAUGGAACGAGGUUCCAGAGGGUUUGAAGAACUCUCUAUGGAAUGAUACUAUGAAUCUUCUACACAUCGAGAGCGAUGAGGAGAAGAAGAAUGUGUUUCUUUCAGCUGUUGCUGAAAGAUUCAGAGAUUUCAAAUCCAAGCUAGUAACUGGCUAGAUCACAAAGAAGCGUGCCCGUACGACCAAAAAGGUCAAAAUGGGAAACGAAGGGGGAGAGCAAGCACCUUCGAAGAUGCCCUACGAAAUAUGGGGUCACAUAUCAAAGAAGGAAUGAGAGGCUUUUGUUCCCAAAAGAACAACUUCCAUUGAAGUUGAAAAGCGUGGUAAAACUUCUGAAUCAGCAAGCAAAAGGAAGUUUUACCAUCGCUUGGGCCCAAAAACGUACGAUGAGGCCUGAAAAGAGUGGGUGGAUGCGAUUUUAUACCCCAAUCAGAGUCUAGCCACGACCUCAUCUACGUUUACCUCUGCAUCCAUGAAUACUCCUGCUGGAGAUCGGGUGCGGAAUUAGUAUUGCGGACUUCAUUCUCGAGAUGCAAGUGGUAAAUUUACAAUCACAGAUUCGGGAACGAAGACGGUUGCUGAUGCUGUGAUAGGCUGGAAGGAAAAAGAAGCUACGGGGGAGUUCACCCUAAGAGGCAAUGUUGAUGGUCUUUAGGAAAGACCAUAGAGGGUGGGUAGUUGGAAAAGGAGGCAUCCGCGUGGGGUUAAAGAAGGCACUCGGAAAAGAGUGUGUUGCUACUCAAUCCCGAUCGAUGCCACCUAAUGAAGUCGCAACCCUCAGAGCAGAAAUUAUGAAGGACGUUAUCGCCAAGGUGGCGCUGGUAUUGCAGAAGAUGGGAGCACCCACUGUUGACUUAGCAAAUCUGAUUGUCGAGAAUCAGCAAAGUCAACAUGGGGAUCCUAAGGCUUCGGCCGAGCCAACACCCGAGCCCAUUACCCCCGUAGCAGUCUAGCCCAUUACUACCCCCGAAGGGUAAAAUCCUACACCGGAGACCAUGAAGUAGCUCAAACUUGGUUUGUUUUGCACGAAACUUGGCACACAACACUAUUAGGUAUAUAUUAUUGUGUUGAAGUGGUUAGAAUUGUAAAUCAUAGUCGUAUGCUAGAAGUUACGUGUUAAGUUGCGAUUUUGUGGGUUUUUAAGUGUUUUUGGCACUUUCGCGCAUAAAGUAGCUCAAACUUGGUUUGUUUUGCACGAAACUUGGCACAUAACACUAUUUGGUAUAUAUUAAAGUGUUGA